rnacentral:rRNA from 1 species
CCCUUAGAUGUUCUGGGCCGCACGCGCGCUACACUGAUGCAUUCAACAAGCCUAGCCUUGACCGAGAGGUCCGGGUAAUCUUUGAAACUGCAUCGUGAUGGGGCUAGAUUAUUGCAAUUAUUAAUCUUCAACGAGGAAUGCCUAGUAAGCGUGAUUCAUCAAAUCGCGUUGAUUACGUCUCUGCCCUUUGUACACACCGCCCGUCGCUCCUACCGAUUGAAUGUGUUGGUGAGGAGCUCGGAUUGGCAGCAGUUGGUGGUUCGCCACCGGCUAUUGCUGAGAAGUCCUCCAAACCGCCCCAUUUAGAGGAAGGAGAAGUCGUAACA